rnacentral:lncRNA from 1 species
CUGGCACACAGCAGAUCCCAGGAAAGGUGACUUCUGCUGAAUAAAAGAGGCUGUAGGGUCAUCAAAGUGAAGAAAAGAACCAAGUAAAAGACAGAGCACUAAGGAUAAGGACUCUGAAGCUCCCAGUUUUGCUGUGCAGAAUGAAUCAAAGGUGUUGCCAGGUUUUUCCAUGAGCUGCACAUUUCUCAGGGGUCCACUGCUGGGACCCAGAAACAUCCAGAAAAACUGAGUGUGAUGUCCUUGGGCUUGUUACAACUCAUGAAUGUAACAGGAAAGGAUCAACAUCCUAAAGCAAGAAAGUGUCCCAAGCACAACACCACCAAGGUAUUCUACAUUGACCAUAAGAAGAGAAAGUAUAACUCUGCACUUUCCUCUCAUGUCCAGCCCAUUCCUUUUUUCUCUCAAUGUAACCAUUUCAUUUUGUAAGAGUUGGAAAUGAAAUUUCACAUUGUGUUAAGAUUGAGACCCUUUCAUGUGUAUGUGCCAAAUAAUUCUCUGUGAGAGGGUAGGUGGAGAGGAAGAUUAGGAACUGUCAACUUCUCUUCCUUUUGCUUGUUGUCUUUUAAUGGUUUUAUUUUCUUCUGGUUUAAUGCUUUGCAUGUGGGUCUUUCGUGUUUUGCUCCAAUGAGUGAGAGUGAAAAAGAGAAAUAGGGAA